rnacentral:rRNA from 1 species
UACAGAGGUCCCGAGCGUUGUUCGGAUUCAUUGGGCGUAAAGGGUGCGUAGGCGGCGGGGCAAGUCUGAUGUGAAAUCCUGGGGCUCAACCCCAGAACUGCAUUGGAUACUGCUUUGCUAGAGUACUGGAGAGGGAACUGGAAUUUACGGUGUAGCAGUGAAAUGCGUAGAGAUCGUAAGGAAGGCCAGUGGCGAAGGCGAGUUCCUGGACAGUGACUGACGCUGAGGCACGAAGGCCAGGGGAGCAAACGGG